GGUUGCACAUAGCAGCAGUACACUCCAAGUGGAAUGAUACAGAGGAGUUUAGCAUAGCCCCUGCACAAGGAUGACAUGCAAAUUAAUGAAGCAUUCCAUAUUUUU
ensembl:snRNA U6 U6 spliceosomal RNA